CGUGUAGGCGGCCUCUUAAGUUUGGUGUGAAAGCCCGGGGCUCACCCCCGGAAGUGCACCGGAUACUGGGAGGCUUGAGUACCGGAGAGGAGGGUGGAAUUCCUGGUGUAGCGGUGAAAUGCGUAGAUAUCAGGAGGAACACCGGCGGCGAAGGCGGCCCUCUGGACGGAUACUGACGCUGAGACGCGAAAGCGUGGGGAGCAAACA
rnacentral:rRNA from 1 species